rnacentral:misc_RNA from 1 species
AAAGUCGUAACAAGGUCUCCGUUGGUGAACCAGCGGAGGGAUCAUUACCGAGUUGUAACACUCACAAACCCACUGCAAACGUACCCAUUUUGGCGACUCCGGCAGGUGGCCCCAGGGCGGGGCCUCAGCCUCUUCAGGCGCCUGCCGAAGGUGCCGCAAUUUUACUCUGUAAAUCAUGUAUUCUGAGUCCUGAGACAAAAUAUCAAAAUUUUCAAUUGUGGAUCUCUUGGUUCUG